GGGUUGUGAGGUUAAGCGACUAAGCGUACACGGUGGAUGCCCUGGCAGUCAGAGGCGAUGAAGGGCGUGCUAAUCUGCGAUAAGCGCCGGUAAGGUGAUAUGAACCGUUAUAACCGGCGAUACCCGAAUGGGGAAACCCAGUGUGAUUCGUCACACUAUCAUUAACUGAAUCCAUAGGUUAAUGAGGCGAACCGGGGGAACUGAAACAUCUAAGUACCCCGAGGAAAAGAAAUCAACCGAGAUUCCCCCAGUAGCGGCGAGCGAACGGGGAGGAGCCCAGAGCCUGAAUCAGCAUGUGUGUUAGUGGAAGCGUCUGGAAAGGCGCGCGAUACAGGGUGACAGCCCCGUACACAAAAGCGCAUGUGUUGUGAGCUCGAUGAGUAGGGCGGGACACGUGGUAUCCUGUCUGAAUAUGGGGGACCAUCCUCCAAGGCUAAAUACUCCUGACUGACCGAUAGUGAACCAGUACCGUGAGGGAAAGGCGAAAAGAACCCCGGCGAGGGGAGUGAAAAAGAACCUGAAACCGUGUACGUACAAGCAGUGGGAGCACAGGUUUACCUGUGUGACUGCGUACCUUUUGUAUAAUGGGUCAGCGACUUAUAUUCUGUAGCAAGGUUAACCGCAUAGGGGAGCCGGAGGGAAACCGAGUCUUAAUUGGGCGUUAAGUUGCAGGGUAUAGACCCGAAACCCGGUGAUCUAGCCAUGGGCAGGUUGAAGGUUGGGUAACACUAACUGGAGGACCGAACCGACUAAUGUUGAAAAAUUAGCGGAUGACCUGUGGCUGGGGGUGAAAGGCCAAUCAAACCGGGAGAUAGCUGGUUCUCCCCGAAAGCUAUUUAGGUAGCGCCUCGUGAAUUCAUCUCCGGGGGUAGAGCACUGUUUCGGCUAGGGGGCCAUCCCGGCUUACCAACCCGAUGCAAACUGCGAAUACCGGAGAAUGUUAUCACGGGAGACACACGGCGGGUGCUAACGUCCGUCGUGAAGAGGGAAACAACCCAGACCGCCAGCUAAGGUCCCAAAGUCAUGGUUAAGUGGGAAACGAUGUGGGAAGGCCCAGACAGCCAGGAUGUUGGCUUAGAAGCAGCCAUCAUUUAAAGAAAGCGUAAUAGCUCACUGGUCGAGUCGGCCUGCGCGGAAGAUGUAACGGGGCUAAACCAUGCACCGAAGCUGCGGCAGCGACACUGUGUGUUGUUGGGUAGGGGAGCGUUCUGUAAGCCUGUGAAGGUGGCCUGUGAGGGUUGCUGGAGGUAUCAGAAGUGCGAAUGCUGACAUAAGUAACGAUAAAGCGGGUGAAAAGCCCGCUCGCCGGAAGACCAAGGGUUCCUGUCCAACGUUAAUCGGGGCAGGGUGAGUCGACCCCUAAGGCGAGGCCGAAAGGCGUAGUCGAUGGGAAACGGGUUAAUAUUCCCGUACUUGGUGUUACUGCGAAGGGGGGACGGAGAAGGCUAUGUUGGCCGGGCGACGGUUGUCCCGGUUUAAGCGUGUAGGUGUGUGUUCCAGGUAAAUCCGGUUCACUUUAACACUGAGGCGUGAUGACGAGGCACUACGGUGCUGAAGCAACAAAUGCCCUGCUUCCAGGAAAAGCCUCUAAGCAUCAGGUAACAUCAAAUCGUACCCCAAACCGACACAGGUGGUCAGGUAGAGAAUACCAAGGCGCUUGAGAGAACUCGGGUGAAGGAACUAGGCAAAAUGGUGCCGUAACUUCGGGAGAAGGCACGCUGACACGUAGGUGAAGUGAUUUACUCAUGGAGCUGAAGUCAGUCGAAGAUACCAGCUGGCUGCAACUGUUUAUUAAAAACACAGCACUGUGCAAACACGAAAGUGGACGUAUACGGUGUGACGCCUGCCCGGUGCCGGAAGGUUAAUUGAUGGGGUCAGCGCAAGCGAAGCUCCUGAUCGAAGCCCCGGUAAACGGCGGCCGUAACUAUAACGGUCCUAAGGUAGCGAAAUUCCUUGUCGGGUAAGUUCCGACCUGCACGAAUGGCGUAAUGAUGGCCAGGCUGUCUCCACCCGAGACUCAGUGAAAUUGAACUCGCUGUGAAGAUGCAGUGUACCCGCGGCAAGACGGAAAGACCCCGUGAACCUUUACUAUAGCUUGACACUGAACAUUGAGCCUUGAUGUGUAGGAUAGGUGGGAGGCUUUGAAGUGUGGACGCCAGUCUGCAUGGAGCCGACCUUGAAAUACCACCCUUUAAUGUUUGAUGUUCUAACGUGGACCCGUAAUCCGGGUUGCGGACAGUGUCUGGUGGGUAGUUUGACUGGGGCGGUCUCCUCCUAAAGAGUAACGGAGGAGCACGAAGGUUGGCUAAUCCUGGUCGGACAUCAGGAGGUUAGUGCAAUGGCAUAAGCCAGCUUGACUGCGAGCGUGACGGCGCGAGCAGGUGCGAAAGCAGGUCAUAGUGAUCCGGUGGUUCUGAAUGGAAGGGCCAUCGCUCAACGGAUAAAAGGUACUCCGGGGAUAACAGGCUGAUACCGCCCAAGAGUUCAUAUCGACGGCGGUGUUUGGCACCUCGAUGUCGGCUCAUCACAUCCUGGGGCUGAAGUAGGUCCCAAGGGUAUGGCUGUUCGCCAUUUAAAGUGGUACGCGAGCUGGGUUUAGAACGUCGUGAGACAGUUCGGUCCCUAUCUGCCGUGGGCGCUGGAGAACUGAGGGGGGCUGCUCCUAGUACGAGAGGACCGGAGUGGACGCAUCACUGGUGUUCGGGUUGUCAUGCCAAUGGCACUGCCCGGUAGCUAAAUGCGGAAGAGAUAAGUGCUGAAAGCAUCUAAGCACGAAACUUGCCCCGAGAUGAGUUCUCCCUGAGACUUAAAGUCUCCUGAAGGAACGUUGAAGACGACGACGUUGAUAGGCCGGGUGUGUAAGCGCAGCGAUGCGUUGAGCUAACCGGUACUAAUGAACCGUGAGGCUUAACCUUACAACGCCGAAG
rnacentral:rRNA from 2 species